rnacentral:rRNA from 1 species
AGCUCUGUAAGCGUAUACCAAAGUUGUUGCAGUUAAAACGCUCGUAGUCGGAUUUUGGCGUGGUGCUUAUUAGGUGCCCAAUUAUUUGGUGUGCCGAUUUAUAGUCCCGCCUUUGCGGAGGGGGGCGUGGUGGCUCUUUAUUGAGUUGCUGCGUUUCCGCCGCUGUUUACUGUGAAAAAAUUAGAGUGUUCAAAGCGAGCGAUUGCCAUAUGAAUAGAUUAGCAUGGAAUAAUAGAAUAGGACCUGGUUCUGUUUUAUUGGUUUGUCGGUUUCAGGUAAUGAUUAAGAGGGACGGUCGGGGGCAUUUGUAUUCCAGGGUUAGAGGUGAAAUUCUUAGAUCCUUGGAAGACAAACAGCUGCGAAAGCGUCUGCCAAGGACGUUUUCA